AGUGAACGCUGGCGGCAUGCCUAACACAUGCAAGUCGAACGGCAGCACAGUAAGAUCUCGCUCCUACGGGUGGCGAGUGGCGGAUGGGUGAGGAAUACAUCGGCAUCUACUUUUUCGUGGGGGAUAACGUAGGGACACAUACGCUAAUACCGCAUACGAUCUACGGGUGAAAUCAGGGGAUCUUCGCAGUCUUCGCGACUGAUUGAGCCGAUGUCGGAUUAGCUAGUUGGCGGGGUAAAGGCCCACCAAGGCGACGAUCCGUAGCUGGUCUGAGAGGAUGAUCAGCCACACUGGAACUGAGACACGGUCCAGACUCCUACGGGAGGCAGCAGUGGGGAAUAUUGGGCAAUGGGCGAAAGCCUGAUCCAGCAAUGCCGCGUGAGUGAAGAAGGCCUUCGGGUUGUAAAGCCCUUUUGUUAGGGAAGAAAAGAAGCAGGUUAAUACCUCGCUGUUCUGACGGUACCCAAAGAAUAAGCACCGGCUAACUUCGUG
rnacentral:rRNA from 1 species